UACGUAGGGUGCAAGCGUUAAUCGGAAUUACUGGGCGUAAAGCGUGCGCAGGCGGUUUUGUAAGUCUGUUGUGAAAUCCCCGGGCUCACCUGGGAAUGGCAAUGGAGACUGCAAGGCUAGAGUUUGGCAGAGGGGGGGUAGAAUUCCACGUGUAGCAGUGAAAUGCGUAGAUAUGCGGAGGAACACCGAUGGCGAAGGCAAUCCCCUGGACCUGUACUGACGCUCAUGCA
rnacentral:rRNA from 1 species